ACGCUCGACACCUACGGGAGGCAGCAGUGGGGAAUAUUGGGCAAUGGGCGCAAGCCUGACCCAGCAACGCCGCGUGAAGGAAGAAGGCUUUCGGGUUGUAAACUUCUUUUGUCAGGGAACAGUAGAAGAGGGUACCUGACGAAUAAGCCACGGCUAACUACGUGUCAGCAGCCGCGGUAAUCUGAGCGGGCUGGCAAGGC
rnacentral:rRNA from 1 species